rnacentral:rRNA from 1 species
ACAUGCAAGUCGAACGGUAGCACAGAGAGCUUGCUCUCGGGUGACGAGUGGCGGACGGGUGAGUAAUGUCUGGGAAACUGCCUGAUGGAGGGGGAUAACUACUGGAAACGGUAGCUAAUACCGCAUAACGUCGCAAGACCAAAGAGGGGGACCUUCGGGCCUCUUGCCAUCAGAUGUGCCCAGAUGGGAUUAGCUAGUAGGUGGGGUAACGGCUCACCUAGGCGACGAUCCCUAGCUGGUCUGAGAGGAUGACCAGCCACACUGGAACUGAGACACGGUCCAGACUCCUACGGGAGGCAGCAGUGGGGAAUAUUGCACAAUGGGCGCAAGCCUGAUGCAGCCAUGCCGCGUGUAUGAAGAAGGCCUUCGGGUUGUAAAGUACUUUCAGCGGGGAGGAAGGCGGUAAGGUUAAUAACCUUGUCGAUUGACGUUACCCGCAGAAGAAGCACCGGCUAACUCCGUGCCAGCAGCCGCGGUAAUACGGAGGGUGCAAGCGUUAAUCGGAAUUACUGGGCGUAAAGCGCACGCAGGCGGUCUGUCAAGUCGGAUGUGAAAUCCCCGGGCUCAACCUGGGAACUGCAUUCGAAACUGGCAGGCUAGAGUCUUGUAGAGGGGGGUAGAAUUCCAGGUGUAGCGGUGAAAUGCGUAGAGAUCUGGAGGAAUACCGGUGGCGAAGGGCGGCCCCCUGGGACAAAGACUGACGCUCAGGUGCGAAAAGCGUGGGGGAGCAAACAGGAUUAGAUACCCUGGGUAG